GGGGCUACCAUGCAAGUCGAGCGAGCUCUUCGGAGCUAGCGGCGGACGGGUUAGUAACGCGUGGGAACGUGCCCUUCACUGCGGAAUAGCCACUGGAAACGGUGAGUAAUACCGCAUACGCCCUUCGGGGGAAAGAUUUAUCGGUGAAGGAUCGGCCCGCGUUAGAUUAGAUAGUUGGUGGGGUAACGGCCUACCAAGUCUACGAUCUAUAGCUGGUUUUAGAGGAUGAUCAGCAACACUGGGACUGAGACACGGCCCAGACUCCUACGGGAGGCAGCAGUGGGGAAUCUUGGACAAUGGGCGCAAGCCUGAUCCAGCCAUGCCGCGUGAGUGAUGAAGGCCUUAGGGUCGUAAAGCUCUUUCGCCAGAGAUGAUAAUGACAGUAUCUGGUAAAGAAACCCCGGCUAACUCCGUGCCAGCAGCCGCGGUAAUACGGAGGGGGUUAGCGUUGUUCGGAAUUACUGGGCGUAAAGCGCACGUAGGCGGAUCAGAAAGUUGGGGGUGAAAUCCCGGGGCUCAACCCCGGAACUGCCUCCAAAACUCCUGGUCUUGAGUUCGAGAGAGGUGAGUGGAAUUCCGAGUGUAGAGGUGAAAUUCGUAGAUAUUCGGAGGAACACCAGUGGCGAAGGCGGCUCACUGGCUCGAUACUGACGCUGAGGUGCGAAAGUGUGGGGAGCAAACAGGAUUAGAUACCCUGGUAGUCCA
rnacentral:rRNA from 1 species